CUAGCGACUUCAGAGUUUGAUCCUGGCUCAGGAUGAACGCUGGCGGCGUGCUUAACACAUGCAAGUCGAACGAAGCGCUGUGGAAUGAGACUUCGGUUGAAUGAGACAGUGACUGAGUGGCGGACGGGUGAGUAACGCGUGGGUAACCUGCCUUAUACAGGGGGAUAACAGUUAGAAAUGACUGCUAAUACCGCAUAAGCGCACAGUAUCGCAUGAUACAGUGUGAAAAGCCGAGACGGUAUAAGAUGGACCCGCGUCUGAUUAGCUAGUUGGUGAGGUAACGGCCCACCAAGGCGACGAUCAGUAGCCGACCUGAGAGGGUGACCGGCCACAUUGGGACUGAGACACGGCCCAA
rnacentral:rRNA from 1 species